rnacentral:rRNA from 1 species
GACGAACGCUGGCGGCGUGCUUAACACAUGCAAGUCGAACGGAAAGGCCCUGCUUUUGUGGGGUGCUCGUGUGGCGAACGGGUGAGUAACACGUGAGUAACCUGCCCUUGACUUUGGGAUAACUUCAGGAAACAGGGGCUAAUACCGGAUAGGAGCUUCUGAUGCAUGGUGGGGGUUGGAAAGAUUCGGCGGUUGGGGAUGGACUCGCGGCGUAUCAGCUUAUUGGUGGGGUAGUGGCUUACCAAGGUUUUGACGGGUAGCCGGCCUGAGGGGGUGACCGGCCACAUUGGGUCUUACGUGCGGCACAGACACCUACGGGAGGCAGCAGUGGGGAAGAUUGAACAAGGGACGGAAGCCGGGUGCAGCAACGCCGCGUGCGGGAUGACGGCCUUCUGGUUGUAAACCGCUUGCGCAUGUGACGAAGCGUGAGUGACGGUAAUGGGUAAAGAAGCACCGGCUAACUACGUG